UGGGGAAUAUUGCACAAUGGGCGCAAGCCUGAUGCAGCCAUGCCGCGUGUAUGAAGAAGGCCUUCGGGUUGUAAAGUACUUUCAGCGGGGAGGAAGGGAGUAAAGUUAAUACCUUUGCUCAUUGACGUUACCCGCAGAAGAAGCACCGGCUAACUCCGUGCCAGCAGCCGCGGUAAUACGGAGGGUGCAAGCGUUAAUCGGAAUUACUGGGCGUAAAGCGCACGCAGGCGGUUUGUUAAGUCAGAUGUGAAAUCCCCGGGCUCAACCUGGGAACUGCAUCUGAUACUGGCAGGCUAGAGUCUUGUAGAGGGGGGUAGAAUUCCAGGUGUAGCGGUGAAAUGCGUAGAGAUCUGGAGGAAUACCGGUGGCGAAGGCGGCCCCCUGGACGAAGACUGACGCUCAGGUGCGGAAGCGUGGGGAGCAAACAGG
rnacentral:rRNA from 1 species